rnacentral:rRNA from 1 species
UACGUAGGGGGCUAGCGUUGUCCGGAAUCAUUGGGCGUAAAGCGCGUGUAGGCGGUCCGGUAAGUCCGCUGUGAAAGUCGAGGGCUCAACCCUCGAAUGCCGGUGGAUACUGUCGGGCUGGAGUCCGGAAGAGGCGAGUGGAAUUCCUGGUGUAGCGGUGAAAUGCGCAGAUAUCAGGAGGAACACCAAUGGCGAAGGCAGCUCGCUGGGACGGUACUGACGCUGAGACGCGAAAGCGUGGGGAGCAAACAGG